rnacentral:rRNA from 1 species
UGGGGAAUUUUGGACAAUGGGCGCAAGCCUGAUCCAGCCAUGCCGCGUGUCUGAAGAAGGCCUUCGGGUUGUAAAGGACUUUUGUCAGGGAAGAAAAGGCUGUUGCUAAUAUCGACAGCUGAUGACGGUACCUGAAGAAUAAGCACCGGCUAACUACGUGCCAGCAGCCGCGGUAAUACGUAGGGUGCGAGCGUUAAUCGGAAUUACUGGGCGUAAAGCAAGCGCAGACGGUUACUUAAGCAGGAUGUGAAAUCCCCGGGCUCAACCUGGGAACUGCGUUCUGAACUGGGUGACUAGAGUGUGUCAGAGGGAGGUAGAAUUCCACGUGUAGCAGUGAAAUGCGUAGAGAUGUGGAGGAAUACCGAUGGCGAAGGCAGCCUCCUGGGAUAACACUGACGUUCAUGCUCGAAAGCGUGGGUAGCAAACAGGAUUAGAUACCCUGGUAGUCCACGCCCUAAACGAUGUCAAUUAGCUGUUGGGCAACUUGAUUGCUUAGUAGCGUAGCUAACGCGUGAAAUUGACCGCCUGGGGAGUACGGUCGCAAGAUUA